rnacentral:rRNA from 1 species
AGCUUGCUCCUUUGACGUUAGCGGCGGACGGGUGAGUAACACGUGGGUAACCUACCUAUAAGACUGGGAUAACUUCGGGAAACCGGAGCUAAUACCGGAUAACAUUUGGAACCGCAUGGUUCUAAAGUGAAAGAUGGUUUUGCUAUCACUUAUAGAUGGACCCGCGCCGUAUUAGCUAGUUGGUAAGGUAACGGCUUACCAAGGCGACGAUACGUAGCCGACCUGAGAGGGUGAUCGGCCACACUGGAACUGAGACACGGUCCAGACUCCUACGGGAGGCAGCAGUAGGGAAUCUUCCGCAAUGGGCGAAAGCCUGACGGAGCAACGCCGCGUGAGUGAUGAAGGGUUUCGGCUCGUAAAACUCUGUUAUUAGGGAAGAACAAACGUGUAAGUAACUGUGCACGUCUUGACGGUACCUAAUCAGAAAGCCACGGCUAACUACGUGCCAGCAGCCGCGGUAAUACGUAGGUGGCAAGCGUUAUCCGGAAUUAUUGGGCGUAAAGCGCGCGUAGGCGGUUUCUUAAGUCUGAUGUGAAAGCCCACGGCUCAACCGUGGAGGGUCAUUGGAAACUGGGAAACUUGAGUGCAGAAGAGGAAAGUGGAAAUUCCAUGUGUAGCGGUGAAAUGCGCAGAGAUAUGGAGGAACACCAGUGGCGAAGGCGACUUUCUGGUCUGUAACUGACGCUGAUGUGCGAAAGCGUGGGGAUCAAACAGGAUUAGAUACCCUGGUAGUCCACGCCGUAAACGAUGAGUGCUAAGUGUUAGGGGGUUUCCGCCCCUUAGUGCUGCAGCUAACGCAUUAAGCACUCCGCCUGGGGAGUACGACCGCAAGGUUGAAACUCAAAGGAAUUGACGGGGACCCGCACAAGCGGUGGAGCAUGUGGUUUAAUUCGAAGCAACGCGAAGAACCUUACCAAAUCUUGACAUCCUUUGAAAACUCUAGAGAUAGAGCCUUCCCCUUCGGGGGACAAAGUGACAGGUGGUGCAUGGUUGUCGUCAGCUCGUGUCGUGAGAUGUUGGGUUAAGUCCCGCAACGAGCGCAACCCUUAAGCUUAGUUGCCAUCAUUAAGUUGGGCACUCUAGGUUGACUGCCGGUGACAAACCGGAGGAAGGUGGGGAUGACGUCAAAUCAUCAUGCCCCUUAUGAUUUGGGCUACACACGUGCUACAAUGGACAAUACAAAGGGCAGCUAAACCGCGAGGUCAUGCAAAUCCCAUAAAGUUGUUCUCAGUUCGGAUUGUAGUCUGCAACUCGACUACAUGAAGCUGGAAUCGCUAGUAAUCGUAGAUCAGCAUGCUACGGUGAAUACGUUCCCGGGUCUUGUACACACCGCCCGUCACACCACGAGAGUUUGUAACACCCGAAGCCGGUGGAGUAAC